AUCCGUGUGACGAGUCCCAAAUAGGAUGAAACGCGCAUCAUGGAU
rnacentral:hammerhead_ribozyme from 1 species